GCGAGUGUGUGAUCUUGGCUCGAUGUCAUGUUCGUAUGUUAUGGCGGGCCACACCGACGUGGCAUUAUGUUUAUGUCGUUUAGAUACCUGUACAAUAAGCUCUGGAAGGACAUUAAUUGUAACAUGUUGCAAAUAUAACAAUAAAUUACUGUUAAUCAUAAAUCAGUAAAACUUGCUGAUUUUGGUCUGGCAAGAGAAGAAUCAUUAACAGAGAUGAGGAUUGCAGAAACUGGAACUAUUGCUGGAUGGCUCCUAAGCUUUACUCAGGAGUCGAGGAAAAAAAGCAUUAUCACAAAGUAGACGCCAUCUAUUUUGCAAUUGUAACGUGGGAGUGCAUACACAAGUUACCAUUCCAAGGCAUGUCAAAUCUACAUGCUGCCUAUGCAAGUGCUUUUAAGGUAUGUCUUAGCACUCGAGGUUGAGGAGUUUGUAGAAGCCCAAUCGAUUUAAAGAGCAGAUGACGGUCAAGUUUAUUAAUUGAAGUAAAAUGUUAUGUUACGUUUUUUAACUUACAAUAAGUUAUUAAUUUGAAGUUAAAUGUUGACUGAUGCCAUAUCAUGUAUUUAUGGUGCUGGCCUCUUGUAGGAACUUUAAAAAGAUGUUCUUUUUAAUGUUUAUACCUUUAAACGAAAAGGACAUUAAAAGUUCUUUUCUUCAUCUUCUUGCCAUCUAAAUUGCAGGAAAAAAGGGUUGGUUUUCCUUUUUCUAUAUAUGGUUUUUGAAAUUUCCUCAAUUUCAGCAUAAGGAUCUUUUCGUAACUUGAGAAAGUUAUGCAGAGCUCGCAUAAAUCAUGGCUAUAUUUAACAAAAAGGAGAAGAUUAUCAAUUUAAAAGGAUUUGCUAAUGCAUUUUCUUGUGCUAGCAAUACGUACGUCUGGAAACUAAGAUGUGGAGCAUGCGGAGCCAAUCAAGAAGAAAGGCUUUGUAAAAAGUAAUAAUUUUAUAGGUAGAAAACAUACCAGAAGUAAUAAAUUUUAUUAUAAGUUUAUUGGUUAUAGAUGACCAAUAGUGCAUUUUUAUUUUAUUUUCAUCCUCAAA